AAGCGGUGAUGACUUGUGCGCACAAGUGGUGAUUGGGUCACUACGCUUUGUCUGACAUAAUCGGACGAUCAACAGCGCAUCUGAGCUU